GGUUUUCAUGUGCCGCGCCGGAGAUUAAAAGGGAACUCCUGUGUGAUUCAGGGACUAUCCCCGUAGCUGUAAACUCUCGAAAAUGCCGUACAAUCUCGUGGUCACUGCCUUGCGGCGGGAAGACCGUGCGGUAAGGAGCGAGUCAGAAGACCUGCCUGUCGG
rnacentral:ncRNA from 1 species